CGGACGGGUGAGUAAUGCUUGGGAAUCUGGCUUAUGGAGGGGGAGUAAUACGGGAAACUGUAGCUAAUACCGCGUAAUAUCUUCGGAUUAAAGGGUGGGACUUUCGGGCCACCUGCCAUAAGAUGAGCCCAAGUGGGAUUAGGUAGUUGGUUAGGUAAAGGCUGACCAAGCCGACGAUCUCUAGCUGGUCUGAGAGGAUGACCAGCCACACUGGAACUGAGACACGGUCCAG
rnacentral:rRNA from 1 species